AUUGAACGCUGGCGGCAGGCCUAACACAUGCAAGUCGAGCGGAUGACGGGAGCUUGCUCCUUGAUUCAGCGGCGGACGGGUGAGUAAUGCCUAGGAAUCUGCCUGGUAGUGGGGGACAACGUUUCGAAAGGAACGCUAAUACCGCAUACGUCCUACGGGAGAAAGCAGGGGACCUUCGGGCCUUGCGCUAUCAGAUGAGCCUAGGUCGGAUUAGCUAGUUGGUGGGGUAAUGGCUCACCAAGGCGACGAUCCGUAACUGGUCUGAGAGGAUGAUCAGUCACACUGGAACUGAGACACGGUCCAGACUCCUACGGGAGGCAGCAGUGGGGAAUAUUGGACAAUGGGCGAAAGCCUGAUCCAGCCAUGCCGCGUGUGUGAAGAAGGUCUUCGGAUUGUAAAGCACUUUAAGUUGGGAGGAAGGGCAGUAAGCUAAUACCUUGCUGUUUUGACGUUACCGACAGAAUAAGCACCGGCUAACUCUGUGCCAGCCGCCGCAGUAAUAC
rnacentral:rRNA from 1 species